AGGAAAAGUGGUUCAUAAAAGAUAAAGGUCAGCGGAGUCUUUCAAUUUAUGAAAUGAUGGAGAAUAUGUCUGAAUGAUCAAACAUAAUAGUUAUUCUGUAGAGCUAAAGCAAUGAUGUUGCUAAUAGAGAGGACAGUGCUCUCAGGAUUAUACUACAAGUUAUAUAGUCUGGAAUUUUUGGAACUGGAGUGAAAAGUAGAUACAAGAAAUGAUGGUGGAGAAGGUUUCUCUAGGUACCGUUUAUAAAAACAAUGGUUUGGCAUUGCACGACAAUGAUCAGGUCACUCAUUGAUGUGAGUAAAACAGCAAAGUGCUUGUUUUAGGAGAAAAAUUAAAUUCAAUAAAAAAUUUUUUGUAAAAGUAAUAUACUUACUGACUGCAUUGUUGUCUUUUAUUAUGCUCCACUAUUUAUUUGUAGAAAAUACUGAAGCUUCUACUGUCCUCUUUGGCAGGCUGUUGACAAAUACAGAGCCAAAGAUAUUAUUUGCAAAAACAAUUUGAGGAUAGCCAAUCAACUGCCGAUUGGUGAACCACAAGUUGGAAAACAAAAAUGUAGGCAUCUGAUAAAUUUGUAAUAAAUAGAUGGGGGGUGUAGUUUACAUGGUCGUCACUGCACACUGAGUAUUUUUUUGAAUAUUUCCUAGCAGGUCGUAUCAGUGGCUGUUUUGCCCAUACUGUUUGUAAAUAUUGGACUACAUUCACACAGGACACCACUUUGAGAAUACUUCAUUUCAUAGGAGACAGGGAAUGUUUCUGCUGAUGGACAUCCACUUAUUUUAUUACCAUGAAGGCUAACUCUGUUUCACUUUAUAGCAGCGGACGUUUGUGACCUCGGUUGAUUAUAUAGUGCCUUUAUUUCCUUAAGAAAAAAAACACACAAUCAAUAAAUUAUAAUGUUUGACUUGUGUGAAGUGCUACAGCCCUUGAGAAAGCCACAAAGAGUAGGAGUCCUGCAGACACGUGACAACAUGUGAGAUAUUCUUUGUGUUGUUUUUUGAGGAAACACUGGAGGACACGCUCACGGAUUGCCAGAACAAUGCAGUGCUGUAAGUCAUG